UUUCAGACAUGUUUGUAUUUCAAAGCAGAAGCAAAUUUGGCAGUUGUGUUUUCUUGCUGUCCCCUGCAGGCUUCCAGAUCUUGUAGAAUAUAUUGUGGAGCCUCUUCUUACUGGUUUGCGUGAUAAUAGUUCUUAUGUGCGUCGUUGUGCAGUUAUGGGAUGUGUGAAAUUAUACCAUCUUAUUCCUGACUUUGUUGAAGAUAAUGGAAUCAUAGAUAAACUUUGCAGUCUGUUAACAGACCCAGAUGUUCAGGUAGUGUGCAACUGCAUCGCAGCUUUGGAUGAAAUCCUUGCAGCCGAGGGUGGAUUACUAGUGAAUAAAAAGCUUGCUCAUAACUUAUUAAGGAGGUAAACACGAUGCUACUUAAGAUAUUGUUGACACAAGUUAGUCACCUAAACAACUGACAAUACAUUAAUAAAAUUUAAAGAAAAUGUAACUACACUUCUGAGAGUUGAACCCUUUGGGCUGUUUCACCAACAUUAGCCAUUACAAGAAAAAGACUUCCAAGAAAACAAUCACAAACUCUAUCAAGGGUUGCUUAAUAGUUUAAAAGUUUGUGUACUAAUCUAUUAGGGAGUUGGCAAACCCAAUGUAUAGAAGUCUUAAUUUUCUUCAUUUUUUUUAAACU